rnacentral:tRNA from 1 species
GGGCUCUUAGCUCAGUUGGUAGAGCGCAACGCUGGCAGUGUUGAGGUGUGCGGUUCGAUCCCGCAAGGGUCCACCA